GAGACAUUAGUAAAAUAUGAACAUUACAUUACCUUGUCAAGGUAAAAUCGCAGGUUAAACCCCUGUAUGUCUUG
rnacentral:tRNA from 1 species